GGGGUUGUAGCUCAGUGGUAGAGCCCUUGCCUAUCGUGUGAGGCACUGGGUUCGAUUCUCAGCACUACA
rnacentral:tRNA from 1 species